rnacentral:rRNA from 1 species
GAUGAACGCUGACAGAAUGCUUAACACAUGCAAGUCGACUUGAAGCAAUUUCGGUUGUGGAAAGUGGCGGACGGGUGAGUAACGCGUAAAGAACUUGCCCUUCAGUCUGGGACAACCAUUGGAAACGAUGGCUAAUAUCGGAUAUUAUGGAACUCUCGCAUGGGAGGAUCAUGAAAGCUAUAUGCGCUGAAGGAGAGCUUUGCGUUCCAUUAGCUAGUUGGUGAGGUAACGGCUCACCAAGGCGACGAUGGAUAGCCGGCCUGAGAGGGUGAUCGGCCACAAGGGGACUGAGACACGGCCCUUACUCCUACGGGAGGCAGCAGUGGGGAAUAUUGGACAAUGGACCAAAAGUCUGAUCCAGCAAUUCUGUGUGCACGAUGAAGGUUUUCGGAUCGUAAAGUGCUUUCAGUUGGGAAGAAGAAAGUGACGGUACCAACAGAAGAAGCGACGGCUAAAUACGUGCCAGCAGCCGCGGUAAUACGUAUGUCGCAAGCGUUAUCCGGAUUUAUUGGGCGUAAAGCGCGUCUAGGCGGGUUCAUAAGUCUGAUGUUAAAAUGCGGGGCUCAACUCCGUAUUGCGUUGGAAACUGUGAACCUAGAGUAUCAGAGAGGUGGGCGGAACUACAAGUGUAGAGGUGAAAUUCGUAGAUAUUUGUAGGAAUGCCGAUGGAGAAGUCAGCUCACUGGAUGAAUACUGACGCUAAAGCGCGAAAGCGUGGGUAGCAAACAGG